GCCAAUGUAGCUCAGUCGGUAGAGCAACUGAUUCGUAAUCAGUAGGUCGGGUGUUCGAUUCACCUCAUUGGCACCA
rnacentral:tRNA from 1 species